rnacentral:rRNA from 1 species
AUUGAACGCUGGCGGCAGGCCUAACACAUGCAAGUCGAGCGGAUGAAGGGAGCUUGCUCCUGGAUUCAGCGGCGGACGGGUGAGUAAUGCCUAGGAAUCUGCCUGGUAGUGGGGGAUAACGUCCGGAAACGGGCGCUAAUACCGCAUACGUCCUGAGGGAGAAAGUGGGGGAUCUUCGGACCUCACGCUAUCAGAUGAGCCUAGGUCGGAUUAGCUAGUUGGUGGGGUAAAGGCCUACCAAGGCGACGAUCCGUAACUGGUCUGAGAGGAUGAUCAGUCACACUGGAACUGAGACACGGUCCAGACUCCUACGGGAGGCAGCAGUGGGGAAUAUUGGACAAUGGGCGAAAGCCUGAUCCAGCCAUGCCGCGUGUGUGAAGAAGGACUUCGGAUUGUAAAGCACUUUAAGUUGGGAGGAAGGGCAGUAAGUUAAUACCUUGCUGUUUGGACGUUACCAACAGAAUAAGCACCGGCUAACUUCGU